GGUAUACAAUACUCCGAGAGAGCAGUGCUGCUCAAUCCACUCCAUACUGGCUGGCCAGGUUGCCUUCCCUUAUGCUCCGCCUCCUGACCGGCCAGGUUACCUUCCCUUAUGCCCCGCCUCCUGACCGGCCAGGUUGCCUUCCCUUAUGCCCC